rnacentral:snoRNA from 1 species
UUGUCAGGUGGGAUAAACCUUCCUUGUUCCUGCUUUUGCAAGGUAGAUUAGAACAUGAUGAUUGGAGUUUGCAUGAUACGUGAUUAACGUCUCUUUGUAACCAGGAAUUGCAAUACUCUGAUUGCUCCUAUCUGAU